UUAGCUUGCCCUCGUUAGCUCGCCGCGCUCGCUCACCUGUCUCCAAACUCAGACUAGGAACGAAUUUCCUCCCAUUUCUUCGACGUCACCAAGACAACAGGCUGUCACCACGCACAGACACAAAUACAAGACGGAGCGAGUGAGGGAAGCAGCGAAACAUUUCCUUUUGUGGGCUGGUCAAAUCUCGGCAAAGUUUGUGGGGCUGGCUGUUGGUUCUAACCGUGAGGAAGUUAGCCCGACUCUUUGCCCACCUCGCAAGGAGAAGCAGCUGGUUCAAAUGAUGCAGCAGACAGACAGCUGUGCUAAAUCGGCUUGCUUUCAAAUAGCAGCACGCACGCCAAGAAAACUAGUCGACAGUGAGGGACUAUACAUGGCAACAAGUGUCGUAAGGUCGGACAGAAUAUUCAGCUCUUGGGUGGCUGGGGACUGACUGCCAGGUACUCAUCACCCGGCCCGCAGGUGAGUAGCUUCAAUCAGCUUCUUGGCACAGGGCAGGGAGAAACGCCAGCAUUUUCAGACAACUGUAAACAAGAAUUAUUCUUCUUCUGAGACUAAUUUCAAAGCCCUCACUCUUUUCGAGACUAAUUUCAAAGGCCGCUGACGUGUACUCACGGACCAUGCAACAGAGGGAUGCAGACAGCACACGUAGACAUCUCGGUCUCUGCUGCUGGAGCCUGUCGAAGGAGGCCAGAAGUUUUUGCAUGGCAACUGGGCUGAAAAAGUUCUGGCGAUUAACAUGAAAGGCAGCGCGUGCCAAGAUCCUUCUGACGCAAAACUAAUGUCAAGAGUCUUGUGCCAAGGGGCUCCAACUUUUGGUGCGUUUCGUCCUGUGAGAUGCAACGAAAAACGAGAGCAACUAUAAGGACAAUCCAUGCAAUCGUCUAUAUCAAGACCAAGCUAAGCAAUUGUUCUUUACCAAAGGGUAAGCCAGGCAAUUAUUGUAUCGAGGUCAAAGGAGAGUAAGAAUAAUGAGUUGCACCAGACACAAGCCAGGCCAUCGUCUGAACUCAGUCUACAAGAGUUUGGCCAAGGUGCAACUCCUGGGAAACCGCAAUUUUCGCUCACCACACUUAAAGGCUGGAGGACGUCCAACUUCCCUGAGAGAAGCUGUCAUGGAGGGUGUUCCAACCGUUACAAAGAAUCCGGGUAGUGGGUAGAUCCGGACGGCCACAAGAGACUAGGCAGAUGGGGAGAGCGAGAAGUGGGAGGGGAUGAGAGAAAGAUUUGAACUUUCUAGAUGGCGACUGUUCUUUUAAA